rnacentral:rRNA from 1 species
UACGGUAGGGGCGAGCGUUGUCCGGAUUUAUUGGGCGUAAAGGGCCAGUAGGCGGCCAACUAAGUCGGAUGUGAAAUCCCCAGGCUUAACCUGGGAACUGCAUCCGAUACUGGAUGGCUUGAAUUCGGGAGAGGGAUGCAGAAUUCCGAGGUGUAGCGGUGAAUGCGUAGAUAUCAGGAGGAACACCGGUGGCGAAGGCGGAUCUCUGGGCCAGUGCUGACACUGAGGAGCGAAAGCGUGGGUAGCAAACAGG